CAGGUCCAACCCCACCACAUGUAUCGGUUUCUCGUGGGCGGCCAGAUUUUUGUCGCAGGUCGGUUUCGUUUCCGCUCUCCGCUCCACGCGGCGUCGCCUCCGGAGCCCCCAGAAGCUUCUCGACCCACCACCACCGCUCUCCCUCUCCCCGUCAGAAACAAUGAGCAGACGCAACAGCCGCACCAUCUAUGUAGGCAAUCUCCCUGGGGACAUUCGUGAGAGGGAGGUUGAGGAUCUCUUUUACAAGUACGGUCGCAUUUUGGACAUUGACUUGAAGAUUCCUCCAAGACCUCCUGGUUAUGCUUUUGUUUAGUUUGAGGAUCCCCGUGAUGCUGAUGAUGCAAUUUGCGGCCGUGAUGGGUAUAACUUUGAUGGCUACAGGUUGCGGGUGGAAUUAGCUCAUGGUGGAAGAGGUCAAUCUUACUCAUACGAUCGCCCAAGAAGCUAUAGCAGUGGACGACGUGGAGGUGUUUCUAGGCGUUCUGAAUAUCGCGUUAUGGUCACUGGCUUACCUUCAUCGGCAUCAUGGCAGGAUCUUAAGGACCAUAUGCGGCGGGCUGGUGAUGUCUGCUUCUCUGAUGUAUACCGUGAGGCUGGAGCAACCGUUGGAAUUGUGGAUUAUACAACCUAUGAAGACAUGAAGUAUGCGAUUAGGAAGCUUGAUGACUCAGAGUUCAGAAAUGCAUUUUCACGGGCAUAUAUCAGGGUGAGGGAGUAUGAUGAUAGAUCAAGAAGCAGAAGCCGCUCUUACUCAAGAAGUCGUAGUUACAGCAGAUCUGUUUCUCGGUCACCGUCACCUGUGGAUGAAAGAUCAAUAUCAAGAUCACGGACUCCUGUUUCUUCACCUUCUCGUGGAAGAUCUGUUAGUAAAAGCCCAAGCAGGAGCUUAUCCCGCUCUCCCUCUCCGGUGAAGUCUGAUUGAACAUGAAAACCCUCCAGACUGUGACGGCUACUUAAGGAUCCAGGAACCUGGAACUCGAGGAUAGCAUGGAUUAGAUCAAAUCAUCCUGGUUAUGGCUUCACUGCGCUACAGGCUUCGCCCUUUGUUUAGUAGGUCGACUUCUGUUUAAUAUUAUUCAUAUUGCAUUAUAUUUGCGAAACAGAGAUCAUGUGUUCUGUAGUCAUAGUCCCAGUACUUAUUUUACAUCUAGUAAGUGGAAGAAACUAUCUGCACAUUGUUGUCGACUGUAUUUUAAAUAUCUGAUGCCAUAUAUAUGUUGAUGUACCACCUUUGGUUGUCCUUUGAA